AUAUAUAUAUAUAUAUAUAAUUUUAUAUAUCACAAACUCCAAACUCACAAAGGACCCGUCUCUAAGGUCUAGUGAAUAAAUACAACGGCAACUAUGAGACAAACUUCACAGUUAUCUGCAAGGAUAUAAUAAAAUAUAUAUACCAAAAUCAUAAAUCUACAUUACUGCUCCCAUUCUAAAACAAAAACAUUAUAUUUAGUAAAUGCAGUAUGUAAAAAUAUGUAAAUGAUGCUUACUACAAUAUAAAACAGUGCAUAUAAUAAUGUAAGAAUUAGGUCUCUAACUAAAAAUGUAAAAUGAGGACAUACUUGUAUAAAUAAAUGUACUUGGAAGUCGGUGUUGCAAAGAUAUGCAGUUUGCAGUCCCAUUUUGUUUCAUACACACAAACACAAAAAAGAGGUUGUAUGGAAGAUGAAUUAAGGGGUCUCGCAACCUAAAGAGAGAAGCUGCUCUCGGGCUGACAGUAUAAUUCUGUAUGUGGCUGAUAAUACAAUAAAUAUGCUAUGUAUACAUAUACAACAUUUUACAAUCAAAUACCGUAUUCUAGACCAGACAAGGGGAUUUGAUUAUAAUUACAAUAUAUGUAUACAAUAUAAGCUGUUCACGUAUUGAUACAAACUGGGCGUUUUGGGAGAAAAGUUGUGAAAAGGUGCAUUAUGGGAAAUGUGGGAUCAAGUACUUUUUAAAGUUGUGACUCAUGCGAUCUCCAUCCCUGCUUCUUGAUUUUGACAUUCUGCUUUCUUUCUGUCUGUUGGAGAACCGCCCCAAACACAGAAGUUAAUCCUUGACCUCUGAAGUAGUAGUUGGCAAACAGGCCAAAAGGCCACGUGAAAGCAUCUUCCAGAUAUUAACGCUGAAUCUCGUGGCUGUCGUUAUGGCUGCCGACGCGUCGUGGAUAUGGGAUCGUAUUGUCAAAAGGAAGAUGAUUGUGGAAACAUAACAGUGUGUCUUAAAGUUCAGGAGCGUAGCAUUCGCCUUCGCAGUCACCAGAUCAACGCUGCACUGUAAAAAUACAUCAAGGGGUUCGACUUAAAAACACAAGUUGAAUUGCUGCCUUUCAAGUAGUCAAACUGGAUUUACAAUUUGGUACAACUCAUAGUUUUUAGUUUAAUUUAGCUAUGGAUUGCUUUCUACAAGAUCACUGUACAGUACAUGUUUAUUAAACUUGAUAUUUAACAACUUCUAUGUUGUAAAAUAUUCAGAAUAUUCACAAAAAGUUCUGUGUGUGAGUAUUCGUGUUCAGGGACAUCGGGGUCGCUCCAGGGCCACGGUUGGUCUCGGCACACUGAAAACAAUACAAGAUCGAGGGUUGUUCAAUUCUACAUCAUUUAUUUAUAUUCCUUUCAGAAACAUAAUUCAUUCUUUUAAAAGUUAUUAUAUUUUGAGGAAUUUGAAGAACAAACAAAAACAGUUGAAUCAGCCGUGAAUGGAAAAGCAGCCGUAGCGGACGGGCUCGAGGACAGGAUUAUGUUCACUGUGUUUGCUGUGCUGUGUCAAAGGCUCUGCAGCAGUGCUAUUAGUAGAGUAUUAUUCACUUGCUUGUGUUGGUUUACUGCAUGUGUUUAAAACAAGAGUUAAUUCAUUUCUCUGCCUGAUGAUAUUUCAAAAAUAGGGUGAGAUAAUUGCUGUAAUUCCUACUUUACGGUUCUAAUGUUAAUGUUUGGUUAAAACAUUUAAAAUGGUUCUAAUAUUUAGUCUCAGUAUAACACACAAUAAUGGUAAAUGGUAAAUGGCCUGUACUUGUAUAGCGCUUUUGUAGUCUUCUGACCACUCAAAGCGCUUUAACACUACAUGACAUCAUUCACCCACUGAUGACAGGAGAACCACACACAGUGACACCUGUCCAUCAGUCACUACCAUCCACACGCUGUAGUCGCAGCUACAGGAGCAUGUUGGUUAAGUGUCUUGCCCAAGGACACAACGACAUGCGGGUUAGCAGAGCCUGGGAUCGAACCCACAACCCUGUGAUUGGAGGACGACCUGCUCCCCACUCACCCACAGUACAAUGAAUAUAUAAUAAAUAAUGUAUUAUUACAUUUUCUAUGGCCGUUUUUCUAUACAUAGUUGUCAACAAUUACUGAACAAUACAACGUUCACGAUGGUAGAAUGUAUUAGUUGGACUGCUUUGGUUCUGGCUCAAAAGGCCCUACCCUGACAAGCGUACGCAUUUUAAAUAACAGUAAAGAAUUGCUGUAUUUGUUAGUUGUGCGUGUCUUUCUCUAGUGAGUGCGGCAGUGUAAAGCGUGCUUGGUAGCUGUGUAGAGCAGGUCUCAACUACUUAACCAUGACAAAGUCAAACACCCACUGAAUGAGUGAGGAGUCCUCACUUUAAAUCAAAGCCGGGUGUCACGUUCACAAACGUCUUAUGAACUUGAACUUUGUGUUUUCUGGCAGGAGAUGCGCACACCGAACCCAAGUGCGCACGAGCACAAGUACGGCGUCUCAUAACGUGCGUACCGAGCGCCAGCAUGAUCAUACUCAUACUCAUACACAUACUAAAUGUCCCUGUGCAUUCAUUACAUGGAACGCUCUAAUCAUACACCAAAGUACAUUUGACUCUAAUGAAAGGGAGUUUUUUGCUCAUAUGAAUACGCAUCUGAAGAGAACACACACCUCACACAUUAGCAGAUGUUUUAUUGUGAGAGCUGCAGUAGCAUCUGCACCGUAGCCGCUUGACAGCAACCUUGGUGAAGUUGGAGUUUAGUCCACGUGCCAGGCUGACAGCUAUAGACACUAAUGAACUUUACUACUUGAUAAACUCAGCAUCCGUCACACUAUCUAGAGGUGUUGUGACUGAUAUCCUUAAGCCGACAAGUUGAUGACUCUUUAGUGACAGAAAUCCGCCCAGCAGUGAGCUCAUCGACGGUGGCGCAUGGUUACAGAGGGCGUGCCGGGACCCGCAAGGGUGUCGGUUUGAGCCCCGGCUGCUCCAUGUCCCAUGUUGAGGUCUCCCUGAGAAAGACACCUGACCCCUAAUGGCUCCCCAGGCAUUAAUG
ensembl:lncRNA